rnacentral:lncRNA from 1 species
GGUGGGCCGACCUGCUCCCAGGUCUCGUUCACGCGCUCAGUCCCGUUUCCUCGUUCCCGUCUCCGGAUCUCUGUCCGUGGUUCCUCCUCCGGUCUGAACCUUCUAAAGACUCUGACCGCGACCCGGACCCGGACCUGGACCCGAACCCGGACUUGGACCCGGUACCGAGACCCGUGAACCCGGACCUGGACCUGGACCCGGUACCGAGACCCGUGAACCCCAGUGAAGAGUUACUGUCAGCUGUGCAGACGGAGACACCUGUUCACCUGUCUGUCUGCAGCAGAGCGUGAGACGACGAGUGACUCAACAACAACAACAACAACAACAACAACAACAAGACUCUCUUACACACAAACAUGGAUUUACUGGACUCAGGACAGAAGUUCAGCCCGAGACAGGACCAGGACUGGGACCCGGCCCUCCGGUUCCUGCCGGCCUCCGACACCAAGCGGCUGGAGAAGAAGCCGGGCAGGAGGAGGGCGCUGUGUGUGGGCGGCGGCCUGCUGCUGGCUGCGGCCGGCGUGGCGCUGCUGAGCGGACUGCUGGUCUGGCACUUCCACUGCUCCGCCCCCUUUGUUCUCUCCAGUGCGCCGUGACGUCCGAGUGAAGAAGGUCUACAUCGGCUCCAUGGGGAUCAACAACCAGCCCUUCCUGCUGGACUACGAGGACCCCGGCAGUCCCCAGUUCACUCACCUGGCCUCUCUGGUCAGCAGGCAGGUGAGGCUCCCUCUACUUCUGUGUUGUCGUGACGACGUCGUCACGUAUUUAUUGAUUUAUUGAUGUAUGAUAUUUAUGAUUCUUUUUUUGUCUUUCAGCUGAAACUGAUUUACUCUAAAAACUCUGUGCUGGCCAAACACUUCAAAGGCUCCACGGUCCAGGCCUUCAGGU